rnacentral:rRNA from 1 species
UACGGGGGGGGCAAGUGUUGUUCGGAAUUACUGGGCGUAAAGGGCUCGUAGGCGGCCAACUAAGUCAGACGUGAAAUCCCUCGGCUUAACCGGGGAACUGCGUCUGAUACUGGGUGGCUUGAAUCCGGGAGAGGGAUGCGGAAUUCCAGGUGUAGCGGUGAAAUGCGUAGAUAUCUGGAGGAACACCGGUGGCGAAGGCGGCAUCCUGGACCGGUAUUGACGCUGAGGAGCGAAAGCCAGGGGAGCAAACGGG